UGUAGUAAUGUAAUAUGCUUAGUAAUGUCAUAUAUUGAUUAUAGUGUAGUAGUGUGAUGAUAUGCUUAGUGUGGAAUUUGAUGAAUAUGCUUAGUAUAUUAAUGUGAUGAUAUGCUUAUAUAUAGUAAUUAAUGACAUAUAUUGAAUAUAGUGUAAUAAUGUGAUGAUAUGAUCAUCAUGUUUUUUUCAGAAAUUACCUAAGAGGCUAUGUGUGAGUUGUGGCAUCGAGUCGAAUGAAGAAGGCAUUGCUGGACUACGCCUUACCACAAGGGGCUCGAUCACCAUGUGUGCUUACGCAGUGGACAUGGACGGGCGCACUAUCUUCGGUGCGGAUGGGUGGAGCGACUUCCUCGCUGGCAAGAAUCUCCGAGUUGGACAGGUCGUCUUAGUCACUAUGAGGAACACCCCACGCCAUGACUUGAGGAUGACGAUUGUUUUGGACAUCCUUUAACUAUGUUAGUUUGCUCAUGCGAAAUGAACUCAUUAACUAUGUUAUACUAUUUUGCUCGUG
rnacentral:lncRNA from 1 species